GGGCCUAUAGUUUCAAUGGUAAAACGCCGGUCUCCAAAACCGUAGUUCGAGGUUCGAGUCCUCGUGGGCCCGCCA
rnacentral:tRNA from 1 species